UACAGAGGUCUCGAGCGUUGUUCGGAUUCAUUGGGCGUAAAGGGUGCGUAGGUGGCGCUGUAAGUCGGGUGUGAAAUCCUGAGGCUUAACCUCGGAACUGCAUUCGAUACUGCGGCGCUUGAGGACUGGAGAGGAGACUGGAAUUCAUGGUGUAGCAGUGAAAUGCGUAGAGAUCAUGAGGAAGACCAGUGGCGAAGGCGGGUCUCUGGACAGUUCCUGACACUGAGGCACGAAGGCUAGGGGAGCAAACAGG
rnacentral:rRNA from 1 species